rnacentral:rRNA from 1 species
UGGGGAAUAUUGCACAAUGGGCGAAAGCCUGAUGCAGCAACGCCGCGUGAGUGAUGAAGGUCUUCGGAUUGUAAAGCUCUGUCUUUUGGGACGAUAAUGACGGUACCAAAGGAGGAAGCCACGGCUAACUACGUGCCAGCAGCCGCGGUAAUACGUAGGUGGCGAGCGUUGUCCGGAUUUACUGGGCGUAAAGGGUGCGUAGGCGGAUGUUUAAGUGAGAUGUGAAAUACCCGGGCUUAACUUGGGUGCUGCAUUUCAAACUGGAUAUCUAGAGUGCAGGAGAGGAGAAUGGAAUUCCUAGUGUAGCGGUGAAAUGCGUAGAGAUUAGGAAGAACACCAGUGGCGAAGGCGAUUCUCUGGACUGUAACUGACGCUGAGGCACGAAAGCGUGGGUAGCAAACAGGAUUAGAUACCCUGGUAGUCCACGCCGUAAAACGAUGAGUACUAGGUGUAGGA